rnacentral:lncRNA from 1 species
AUAUGAUUAGAUCCUAUGAAAAAGAAUAUGAAAGGAAGAACUUAGUUUCUGCAAAAUCUUAGAUCUUGAAAUCUUAGAUUUGUUGUAUAUGAUACAAAGUUGUAUGAAAAAUAAAAUAUCUAAUCUAUAUGAUUAAAAUUAUUUUAAUCAUGAAAAAAUAAAAUUUUGAAUCAUAAUAAAUUUAGAUAUGAUCUAAAAAGAUAUUUAUGAUUGAUUUUAUUUUAGGAUUAUGCAAGAUUUUUCAGAUCUAAAA